UCAUAUGCUUGUCUCWAAGCUUAAGCCAUGCAAGUGUAAGUUCAUGCCGUAAACGAAUGGUGAAACCGCGAAUGGCUCAGGAACCGGACCUAAACCUCGGGACCGUAUUCCUCACCGCGAGGAGAGUGGAUAACUGUGGCAAUUCUAGAGCUAAUACAUGCAACCGAAGCCGCGAUCGCACAUUAGGGGCGACUCGUUCGUUCCUUUUCCGCAACUGGUCGCGGCGCAAAUAUUAGACUGAGACCGACGGCGUUCGACGGCGCUCGCGCUUUCAGCGCGUGGUGUCGCGGCGCCCGCUUCCGAUUUUGGUGACUCUGGAUAACUGUCAGUACGAUCGCACGGGCCGGGAUCGAACUCGGCCUUCGCGCGACGGGUCCCCCGCGAGUCCGCCCUAUCAACUGUCGACGGCCCGGUAAGUGCCGACCGUGGUGGCAACGGGUAACGGGGAAUCAGGGUUCGAUUCCGGAGAGGGAGCAUGCGAAACGGCUACCACAUCCAAGGAAGGCAGCAGGCGCGCAAAUUACCCACUCCCGGCACGGGGAGGUAGUGACGAAAAAUAACGACGCGGGACUCUGUCGAGGCCCCGCGAUCGGAAUGAGUACACUUCAAAUCCGUUAACGAGGAUCGACCGGAGGGCAAGUCUGGUGCCAGCAGCCGCGGUAAUUCCAGCUCCGGUAGCGUAUAUUAAAAUUGUUGCGUUUGAAAAGCUCGUAGUCGGAAUUCGGGUCUCGAAAACGUGCGCCAGCACGUUCGGGGCGACGGCGCCGUCGUCGGGUGUCUUUUAGGAGGUGCCGGGUUUUAGAGGAAGGCGUGGGGCUUCUCGAACGGGGUUUGACGUGGGCUGUCGCGUCGGUCGUCGUGCGUUCACGCGUGCGUCGCAACGCGCGUCGCUCCGUCUUUCCUUUUUUUCUUUUUUUUCCCCUCUCCCUCGCCUGCAUCGUCCCCCCGCUUCGGUCGUCCGUUCGCACUCCCGGCCCUAUUCGCCGGUGCGUGCUACGGUCGGGCCAGUCGAGCUCUCGGUCUCGUUCCGAUCUCACGGUUUGCCGCGCGUCCGGCACCCCGCCGCUUUCCCUCGCAAUCGCGGGUGGUUUUCGGUUCGAAUUUUUUUUUUUUUUCUUUUUUUCUUUUCACGAAGUCAAAAAAACGAAUGAAAACGAAAAAAAAGGGGUUACUGCCGUCCGCCGGUGACGCAAGCCGACCCGCACGGUUCCUCCGAGGGUGCUCUUCAUCGAGUGUCCGAGGCGGCCGGUACGUUCACUGUGAAAAAAUUAGAGUGCUCAGAGCGAGCCGCGACUGGCUUGCAUACGAAAAGCAUGGAAUGAUGGAAAACGGCCUCGUCCGCGCGUCAUCCGUCGGUCUCCGUUCACGACGAGGCAAUGAUCGAAGGGAGCGAUCGGGGCCACUCGUAUUGCGACGUUAGAGGUGAAAUUCUUGGAUCGUCGCAAGACGCACUGCAGCGACGGCGUGUGGCAAGCACGUUUUCCUCGAUCAAGAGCGAAAGUCGGAGGUUCGAAGACGAUCAGAUACCGUCGUAGUUCCGACCGUAAACGAUGCCGACUGGCGCUCCGCCGGCGUUCGCUUCGAUGACCCGGCGGGGAGCCUGCGCGGGAAACCAUAGUCGGUUCCGGGGGGAGUAUGGUUGCAAAACAGAAACUUAAAGGAAUUGACGGAAGGGCACCACCAGGAGUGGAGCCUGCGGCUUAAUUUGACUCAACACGGGAAAACUCACCCGGUCCGGACACCGGUAGGAUUGACAGAUCGAUAGCUCUUUCUCGAUUCGGUGGGUGGUGGUGCAUGGCCGUUCUUAGUUGGUGGAGCGAUCCGUCUGGUUGAUUCCGAUAACGAACGAGACUCCGGCCUGCUAACUAGCGCGCCGAUUAGUGCUUUUCCGGUAACGYGGCGGCGCCGAAGCCGUCGUCGGUCGGCUCUGCGCGUGCGUGGUCGUUCGCUUUCGGGUCGCCCCGAUUCAGCGGUGGCGGCGGCUCGCUUCGGUGAUCGCCGUCCCGCUCGAAGAAAAGGUUACCCGGGGGUCCGUAGCGGCCCGUCGCGCGAGCGCGGCGCCGGCACGCCGUCGCGUCCGGGCCAGUCGGUUGGCGAACGCAGCGCUUCUUAGAGGGACGGGCGGCAGAAAGCCGCACGAGGCGGAGCGAUAACAGGUCUGUGAUGCCCUUAGAUGUCCGGGGCCGCACGCGCGCUACACUGGAGGUAUCAGCGGGCGCUUCUCCCCCGGCCCGAGAGGGUCGGGAAACCUCUGAACCACCUCCCGUGAUAGGGAUCGGGGCCUGGAACCAACCCCGUGAACGAGGAAUUCCCGGUAGGCGCGGGUCAUCAGCCCGCGUCGAUCACGUCCCUGCCCUUUGUACACACCGCCCGUCGCUACUACCGAUCGAACGGUCCGGUGAGGUCCUCGGAUCUGGCCGACGAGUUCGCAGGCCGCGCGACGUGCGUUCGGGCUUACGCUCGUCGCCGUCGUUGUCGGUGCGCUCUCCGAUGGCCCGGAGAAGACGACCGAACCCGAUCGCUUAGAGGAAGUAAAAGUCGUAACAAGGUUUCC
rnacentral:rRNA from 1 species